rnacentral:rRNA from 1 species
AGUGAACACUGGCGGUAGGCCUAACACAUGCAAGUCGAACGGCAGCACAGGAGAGCUUGCUCUCUGGGUGGCGAGUGGCGGACGGGUGAGGAAUACAUCGGAAUCUACCUUUUCGUGGGGGAUAACGUAGGGAAACUUACGCUAAUACCGCAUACGACCUACGGGUGAAAGUGGGGGACCGCAAGGCCUCACGCGAUUAGAUGAGCCGAUGUCCGAUUAGCUAGUUGGCGGGGUAAUGGCCCACCAAGGCGACGAUCGGUAGCUGGUCUGAGAGGAUGAUCAGCCACACUGGAACUGAGACACGGUCCAGACUCCUACGGGAGGCAGCAGUGGGGAAUAUUGGACAAUGGGCGCGAGCCUGAUCCAGCCAUACCGCGUGGGUGAAGAAGGCCUUCGGGUUGUAAAGCCCUUUUGUUGGGAAAGAAACCCUAUCGGUUAAUAACCGGUGGGGAUGACGGUACCCAAAGAAUAAGCACCGGCUAACUUCGUGCCAGCCGCCGCGGUAAAAC